rnacentral:piRNA from 1 species
GAAGAGACAGAUGGAAAGAAUGAACA